CUGGCAGCAGGCUUCAGGCUUUGUCUCCAUGCAGAGUCAGGCUGGCUUGGUUCUCCUCGGAGCUGAAAACUCAUUAUUUCCGAGGUUACAGCCAGGCUGCUGGGAGGCUACAGUUCCUUGUGAGAAGUGCCUGUCUCCCAGCAGCAUUGGCAAGGAGGCAGCCGGGCCUUUGGACAAAGGAAGAGGGAUGAACAUCCUUCAUUGAAAGCCCUUCACCACAUAUAGAAGUCAAUACCAGAAAUUGACUAUUUCGGGAUGAAGAGGAGGGAACAGCAUGCAUGGGGCAUAGCCUGGAGUUCCUCUUUGCAUGCAAGGGAGGAUGGGGAUCCCAUGAAAAGCUGAACAUGGGGACAUGAAUUAAAAGCUGUCUUCAAAGCAA